CAGUAGCCACGGUAAUACAGAGGGUGCGAGCGUUAAUCGGAUUUACUGGGCGUAAAGCGUGCGUAGGCGGCUUUUUAAGUCGGAUGUGAAAUCCCUGAGCUUAACUUAGGAAUUGAAUUCGAUACUGGGAAGCUAGAGUAUGGGAGAGGAUGGUAGAAUUCCAGGUGUAGCGGUGAAAUGCGUAGAGAUCUGGAGGAAUACCGAUGGCGAAAGCACUCUGCUGGGCCGACACUGACACUGAGAGACGAAAGCUAGGGGAGCAAAUGGGAUUAGAUACCCCGGUAGUCCCUGUCUCUUAUAC
rnacentral:rRNA from 1 species